rnacentral:misc_RNA from 1 species
UUUUUUUUUUUUUUAAAUUAUUUAUAUAUUAUACAUAGAAUGUUCCUUUACAAAUAAAUACCACUUCAGAGAGAAAGAACCCUUGAGUCUGAACUAGUUAUGCAAAAUGCGUCAACUCUGCAUAUGGGCCAUUUUGUAGUUCAUUCUGCCCUUGGUUUCCCCAUACUCAAAGGUGAAAUGCCUAUAUCUUUUUCUGAACUGCAGUUCCAUUAUGCUGUCUUCU